AUUGAACGCUGGCGGCAGGCCUAACACAUGCAAGUCGAACGGUAACAGGAAGCAGCUUGCUGCUUCGCUGACGAGUGGCGGACGGGUGAGUAAUGUCUGGGAAGCUGCCUGAUGGAGGGGGAUAACUACUGGAAACGGUAGCUAAUACCGCAUAAUGUCGCAAGACCAAAGAGGGGGACCUUCGGGCCUCUUGCCAUCGGAUGUGCCCAGAUGGGAUUAGCUUGUUGGUGGGGUAACGGCUCACCAAGGCGACGAUCCCUAGCUGGUCUGAGAGGAUGACCAGCCACACUGGAACUGAGACACGGUCCAGACUCCUAGGGGAGGCAGCAGUGGGGAAUAUUGCACAAUGGGCGCAAGCCUGAUGCAGCCAUGCCGCGUGUAUGAAGAAGGCCUUCGGGUUGUAAAGUACUUUCAGCGGGGAGGAAGGGAGUAAAGUUAAUACCUUUGCUCAUUGACGUUACCCGCAGAAGAAGCACCGGCUAACUCCGUG
rnacentral:rRNA from 1 species